rnacentral:lncRNA from 1 species
CACUUUUGUAAAAUAAUGUACACAGGCUUGCACACUGAAAGACUCAGAGCCAUUUAACCAUAUAACCACUGCAGAAUCUUUAUCUUCUUUUUUACCUGAUUUCCAAUUGGCAGGUGUUGCUAAAACUUUAUCACCAAAGUUAUUUCACUGGCUGAAUGUGGUGGCUCAUGCCUGUAAUCCCAACACUUUGGGAGGCCGAGGCAGGUGGAUCAUUUGAGGCCAGGAGUUUGACACCAGCCUGGCCAACAUGGUGAAACCUUGUCUCCACCAAAAAUACAACAAAUUGGCUCAGUGUGGGAAGAUUGCAGCGGCUUCGGGCUUACUCCUUGCUUUUUUCAUAAUCCCUGAUAGAGCUGAGUCAAUUUCAGGCACAGCCCAGCCGAGUCAGGCGAGGUCCAGAAAGGCCUCACUCGCCUGGCAGCCUCAACGGUCUUGUCCCCGCAGCCGUUGCGGACCUCCCGGUCGUCAUGGCGACUGUGAAAUGUCUGGUGGGGCGCAUGCGUUGGAAGCCAUUCGCGCCGGCAGUCCCUGCGUGUUCCCCCACGUGCUCCCAAGCGCGCAGCACCCCCGCCUCUGCGC